GUUUUACACUUGAUCUCUGAACUUCAGGUAAGUUCCUGUGUUGACAAGUUCAUUCUUUGCACUUAAUUAUUAAUUUGUGAUGUAGAGUUUAAGCUUCAUGAUGUACUUUUUUGGGUGUGUAUUAGUGGUCUAGUUGAUGUGUAUUAGUGGGUAUAUGAUGGUGCAAAGAUAGUGCAUAUGAUGGUUUACACUUGAUCUCUGAACUUCAGGUAAGUUCAUGUUGACAACUUCAUUCACUGAUGCU